GCGCUGCAGCCCUGCCCUUUUCAGAUGGAGCUGGUGAGACGUUUCCCAGCGGAAGCCAGAGAGAGCUCAGGGGUUUCUCCUUGGGACCAUAUUCCAGGGAGCCGGAGGUCAUUUCUUUGGGGACUGCGUCCCUCUCACACAGCAGGUUAAGGUCAAUACUUUCAGCCAUUACGUUUCUUGAGGGUUUACCAGGAUUUGAGAAGGCCUAUGAGGUCGUAUACCUGACUGACUAUCUCAGAGGACUCAGAGGUGGCUGUGAGCCAUCCAGUAUCCCGAGGGCCCCAGAAGCAAAUGGAUACAGCAGCCAAGCACAGCCAGCGUGGUGAGACCCAGCAAGCCCGCACCUCCACCAGGAGCAGGAAGAGUCGGGGCUCCCGCUCUGAUGGAGUGGGGUGCUCUGACCUUUUAUGGCAGGAAGGAGAACCAGCCGUUCCUAAGCCAAGAGACUGGACACCAAGGAACUGAUCGUUUUCAAAUGAAGAAAGGUGCAGGGAAGGCAGAUUCCUUACUCAGUAUACCUGGGAAAGAUUCACGGGGGAAGGAAGAUGGCUCCUCUGCCAGAAGCCAUCUGGGAGGGACCUCAGCGAUUCCAUCUACUCUGAUAGCUGAAAGCAGAUCCUGGGGUUAUGGAUCAACACCAGUCAUGGACAUGGGACUUUCCUGGGAAUGGCUUUAAGUGCAGGAAGGCCAGGUCCCUCCGGUGAUCCAACCUACACACUGACCUCCUGCCCUGAAGGCAGAGAAGCCACAGUGGUAGACGCAAGUCUGUCCUGAACAGGCUACAGACACAGCUAGAACCCAACCAGCUCAGCAGGCUGCCUGCAAGGCUGCAGUUAAGACAUGCCUCUCGCUGAGGAGGAGCCCAGGAUCUUGGGCAUGCUGAAAGGAUCUCACCUGUACCCCAGGCUGACCUUGAACCUGGCAUGUAUUACCAUACUGGGUUUAUGGGUACUAGAGAUGGAUCCCAUCCCAGCGUCUCACACAUGCCAGAACACACUAUCCAACUGAGCUCAAGCUCCAGGGCUUAUUAUAUAUGCUGUUACUGAGAUACCCGGAGGGCUGAUCACAUGUGCUGUCUGAGCAAGGCAGCCCUGUGUGGACACAGCAAGACAACAGCCAUCUCUACACACUAAGAGUCUUCCAUCCCAACCCCAGUAUGUUAACACCCUGGUCCCAGACUCCAAAUUGUGACAACAAAAUAAAAUGUCUCAUGUGUAAGC